AACUAUACGAAUACUAUGUAUAGCUAUUUCUGCUCAAUGUUAUUAUAAAUUGCCGCAGUACUUUGACUGUGCUAAGGUAGCAUAAUCAUUUGGCUUAUAAUUGAAGUCUAGUAUGAAGGAAGUCAUGGGGGUUAGCUGUUUCCGAAACGUUUAUUUAAUUUGCCUGAGGGGUGAAAAUGCCCCUAAUUACAUAAUAGACGAGAAGACCCUUGAAAUUUUAAAUAUAGGCAGUGUAGAGCUAAACUUUUUGUUGGGGCGACAAAGUAGCAGAUAACCUACUAAUUGUUAUUAGCAGAAAAUUGUAUGAAUAAAUAAAUUACUCUAGGGAUAACAGCAUAAUAUUUAAAAGUUUGUGACCUCGAUGUUGGACUAGGAUAAUAUAGUCUAGAAGACUUUUAUUUCUGCUCUGUUCG
rnacentral:rRNA from 1 species